rnacentral:rRNA from 1 species
AUUGAACGCUGGCGGCAUGCCUUACACAUGCAAGUCGAACGGUAACGCGGGGCAACCUGGCGACGAGUGGCGAACGGGUGAGUAAUGCAUCGGAACGUGCCUGGUAGUGGGGGAUAACUGCUCGAAAGAGCAGCUAAUACCGCAUACGACCUGAGGGUGAAAGAGGGGGAUCGCAAGACCUCUCGCUUUCGGAGCGGCCGAUGUCGGAUUAGCUAGUUGGCGGGGUAAAGGCCCACCAAGGCAACGAUCCGUAGCGGGUCUGAGAGGAUGAUCCGCCACACUGGGACUGAGACACGGCCCAGACUCCUACGGGAGGCAGCAGUGGGGAAUUUUGGACAAUGGGGGCAACCCUGAUCCAGCCAUGCCGCGUGAGUGAAGAAGGCCUUCGGGUUGUAAAGCUCUCUCGGCUGGGAAGAAAUCGCAUCUCCUAAUACGGGGUGUGGAUGACGGUACCAGCAUAAGAAGCACCGGCUAACUACGUGCCAGCCGCCGCGGUAAUAC